ensembl:rRNA 5S_rRNA 5S ribosomal RNA
GCCAGCAGCCAUGUCACCCUGCAACUCACAACUGGCAGCCCACUGAAGCUAAGCAGGUGUGAGCCUGGUCAGUACCUGGAUGGGAGACCUCCUGGGAAAAACUAAGCUUGCUGCUGGAA